AUUGAACGCUAGCGGGAUGCCUUACACAUGCAAGUCGAACGGAGUGGCGAACGGGUGAGUAAUGUAUCGGAACGUGCCCCGUCGCUGUGGAUAACUACGCGAAAGCGUAGCUAAUACCGCUUACUAUUGGAGCGGCCGAUAUCGGAUUAGCUAGUUGUUGGGGUAACGGCUCACCAAGGCGACGAUCCGUAGCUGGUUUGAGAGGACGACCAGCCACACUGGGACUGAGAAACGGCCCAGACUCCUACGGGAGGCAGCAGUGGGGAAUUUUGGGCAAUGGGGGAAACCCUGAUCCAGCCAUCCCGCGUGUGCGAUGAAGGCCUUCGGGUUGUAAAGCACUUUUGGCAGGAAAGCGGUACCUGCAGAAUAAGCACCGGCUAACUACGUGCCAGCAGCCGCGGUAAUUC
rnacentral:rRNA from 1 species